GGACGAACGCUGGCGGCGUGCUUAACACAUGCAAGUCGAACGGAAAGGCCCUGCUUUUGUGGGGUGCUCGAGUGGCGAACGGGUGAGUAACACGUGAGUAACCUGCCCUUGACUUUGGGAUAACUUCAGGAAACUGGGGCUAAUACCGGAUAGGAGCUCCUGCUGCAUGGCGGGGGUUGGAAAGUUUCGGCGGUUGGGGAUGGACUCGCGGCUUAUCAGCUUGUUGGUGGGGUAGUGGCUUACCAAGGCUUUGACGGGUAGCCGGCCUGAGAGGGUGACCGGCCACAUUGGGACUGAGAUACGGCCCAGACUCCUACGGGAGGCAGCAGUGGGGAAUAUUGCACAAUGGGCGGAAGCCUGAUGCAGCAACGCCGCGUGCGGGAUGACGGCCUUCGGGUUGUAAACCGCUUUCGCCUGUGACGAAGCGUGAGUGACGGUAAUGGGUAAAGAAGCACCGGCUAACUACGUG
rnacentral:rRNA from 1 species